GCCGCUUCUCGCUGGUUUGCCACCGGAGGGGAGGGGCCUAGCGCUCGGCCCCCGUCACGUGACCUAAAUCCUGCGUGACGUCACGAGGUUUCCGGAAGUGCGAGGGAGAGACCGGGAGACGCGGAAGGAUCGGGGCGCUGCUGCCACCAUGGACCUGCUGUUUGGGCGCCGGAAGACGCCGGAGGAGCUGCUGCGGCAGAACCAGCGGGCGCUGGCCCGCGCCAUGCGGGAGCUCGACCGCGAGCGCCAGAAGCUGGAGACGCAGGAGAAGAAGAUCAUCGUCGACAUCAAGAAAAUGGCCAAGCAGGGCCAGAUGGACGCGGUGAAGAUUAUGGCGAAGGACCUGGUGCGGACGCGGCGCUACGUGAAGAAGUUCAUCACCAUGAGGGCCAACGUCCAGGCCGUGUCCCUCAAGAUCCAGACCCUCAAGUCCAACAACUCCAUGGCCCAGGCCAUGAAAGGCGUCACGAAGGCCAUGGCCACCAUGAACCGGCAGCUGAAGCUGCCGCAGAUCCAGAAGAUCAUGAUGGAGUUCGAGAAGCAGGCGGAGAUCAUGGACAUGAAAGAGGAGCUGAUGAACGAUGCCAUCGAUGAUGCCAUGGGGGACGAGGACGAUGAGGAGGAGAGCGACGCGGUCGUGUCACAAGUGCUGGAUGAGCUGGGAUUGAACCUCACCGACGAGCUGGCCACCCUGCCCCCGCCGGGGGGGUCGCUGGCAGCGGGGGAGGGGCGGGCGCCCGAGGCCGCGGCCGCCCUGGCCGACGCCGACGCCGACCUGGAGGAGCGGCUCAAGAACCUGCGCCGGGACUGACCCCCCGACCUGGGACCCCUGACCCCCACCCGGACCCCUCCCCAGCACCCUGCGGGCGACCCCUGCUGCUCGACGACCCUCCAACCCCGGGGUUGACCUCGGCGACCCCACGCGACCUACGGGCACCGCCCUGACCCCUGCGGUGACCUUUGACCUUGGCCAACAGCGACCCCCCCCCCCCCACGACCCCCGCCUGGCCUCUUGGUGACUCGUGCCCUUAGGGCUGACCUUUGACCUCCGGCCUUGACUUUUGGUGACCUGUGACGCCCCCCCCCCCCAGGGGGGCUGACCCCCAGUGACCUUUGACCCUGCCCAACCCUUCUUGGGCUGGGGGAGGGGCAUCUCAGACACACUACAGGACUUUGGCUCCCCCCGGGGGUAUUUCCCCCCCCCCGGGGGUAUUUCCCCUCCCCCCCGGGGGUAUUUGCCCCCCCCGGGGGUAUUUGGCCCCCCCCAGGGGUAUUUCCCCCCCCCAGGGGUAUUUCCCCUCCCCCCUGGGGGUAUUUCCCCCCCCCCGGGGGUAUUUACCCCCCCCCCGGGGGUAUUUGCCCCCCCCUCGGGCUAUUUGCCCCCUUUAUCUGCAUUAUUGACUCUCUCUUGGGCUAUUUGCCCCCCCCCGGGAGCUCUUUUUCCAUUUCUUUAUAUUAUUUGCCUCUUCUUGGGGUAUUUGCACCCCCCCAGGGGGUAUUUGCCCCUCUUGGGGGUAUUUGCCCCACCCCCACCCCCACCCCGGGGUAGUUGAACUGGGGCAAUAAAGGCCACGCGCUGGUA